rnacentral:rRNA from 1 species
UACGGGGGGAGCAAGCGUUGUUCGGAUUUACUGGGCGUAAAGGGCGCGUAGGCGGCCAGCACAAGUCAGUUGUGAAAUCUCCGAGCUUAACUCGGAAAGGUCAACUGAUACUGUGCGGCUAGAGUGCGGAAGGGGCAACUGGAAUUCUUGGUGUAGCGGUGAAAUGCGUAGAUAUCAAGAGGAACACCUGCGGCGAAGGCGGGUUGCUGGGCCGACACUGACGCUGAGACACGAAAGCGUGGGUAGCAAACAGG